rnacentral:lncRNA from 1 species
UUUUUUACCUCAGCAAUUUCUAUAUGGAGUUUUUACUACAAUGUCAAACAUCUUUUAUUUUAUUUUAUUAUUAUUAUAUAUUUAAUCAAAAUCUAUAUAAGUAACAAAACGGUCAAAUUAUUUUGAGGAGAAAAAAAAAAGUAAAAUGACACAAAAUCUAAAAGUGAUUUCCACAGACUAAAUUAAACUAAACUAAAACUAAAACACAUUUUUAAUUAACACUGAUUUUAGAUCCGCGCAGGGUAGUGAGGUAACUUACAAUUCACUUUUUUAAGUAUAUGAUGGCAGGUCACAUAGAAAUAAACUAUGGUGAGGGUUACCGAGGGUUUGCUCACCGUUGCUUUCCCCGCCCACAGAGGUGGCCACUGCGCCCAGACUGAAUAAUGUAUCCAUGUCUCUGCGUCUUGGAAACAGCCAGCGCUACAACUACAACUCACAACGAGAGCCACGUUUGUCAACACAGCAGCUACUACUCAACAGACAGACAGACAGACAGACAGACAGACAGACAGACAGACAGACAGACAGACAGACAGGCAGACAGACAGGCAGACAGACAGACAGACAGACAGACAGGCUGAGUGGUUUCACUGCAGGACGCACGGAUGCGCAAUUACGCACGAGACUAGAGGAAUGUCACCGUCGGCGCGCUGAGCUGUGGUCACUUGUUGAAACGACAUCACCUGUGCGUCAGUAUAGUCUCUCCCAGUCCUCCCAGAACACUUGUAGCAGAAUGGGAUGCUCCACCAGUACUCACACCUCCGGAGUGGAUCCGAGCAGACCGAGCACCAAACCGGAGGAGAGCAACGGGGCCAGCACCACAGGGGCGGCCCACGAGAACGGAAAUGUAGCUGAGGACACUGAAACGCUCCCCGAUGAGACACCUACUGGAGGCACUGUGGCAGAACCUGCAGCAGAUGCAACAUCUGCACAGCCCACAGCAGGGGUGGAACCUCCACCUGCAGCUGCAGCAGCACCUGUAGAGGCAACACCACCUGCAGAACAGGCAACGCCCCCUGCAGAAGAAGCAGCUCCACCUGCAGAAGAGGUAACACCACCUGCAGAAGAGGCAGCACCACCUGCAGAAGAAGCAGCACCAGCAGCAGAAAAGCCUUCAGAGGCUGCAACACAAGAAGCACCAGCAGCUGCAGAGCCAGGGAGCGAGGCCACAGCAGCUGACUCAGCAGAAGCACCAGGUAAGCAGCAUGAUGUGAAUGAGCUCAAAUAAACCUACUGACACGUUUCCUUUCUUUCUUUUCCAGCUCCCAGUGAGUGAAGAGCAGCACCAUAAUGCUAACGCUGUUUGUAUGACUGAGUAACAGUACGAAUGUCAGUAUGUGUGUGUAAAUUGCCUUGUUGCCAAUUAGCAGACUAUGGUCACCACUGUGCCUUUGAUUCCUCUUUUCUGAUGAUGUAUGGCUGUGAUCUCUGUACAUAUCGACCUCCAGCACUUAAAGUGUGUCUGCUUUCAGGGAAGAUCUAGGAAUGAUUAAUAAUAGUUAUUUAAUUAAUCAUCUGUGUAGUAUGGGGGGCUGACUGUAAAGUUACAUAUACUAAAAUAAACAGCAACAUUUUGCAGUAAACCA